UGCGUGUGUGGGGUGGGCGUGAAUUAGUUUGUCCUUGUGUUCGUAAGGGAAGUGUCCUUGUGUGUGUAAUGGAAGUGAUGUAAUUUGCAUUGGGAUGGAGUUGAAUGCUGUUUUGAUUUAUAGAUAUACUCGUUUGUGAGGGGAUGCUCCUCUUUGCGGUGCCCUUUUUGGGAUAUAUGUUCUGCAUCCUUUUCAAGUGAUGCCUAUCAGAUUCAAGUUCUAUAAAUUCUCAAGCAAGGCAUUCAAAGACAAAGUCAUGGAAAAGAACAUGUAUAAGCCUUAAAUUCCGGAAAAUUGAACUGGACCACUUUUGAAUUUACGGUAUCCACAAAUAGGCAGAGACAUUUAAAUCGCAUGGAAGUGAAAUGUAAACAUCAGCACAUGAUUUUUCCGUAUUCAGAUUCUACACUACGAAUUUAAGUGGAGAAGAGAGAGAUUGUGAAGUUUUGUGGUGCACAAAUAAUAAAUGAUUCUAGUGUUUAGGGCUGGGUUGUGUCUGCAGAUGCCUGCAGACCAUAAUACAGAGGUGACAUGAGCACAGCUAUACCUACUAAUUGUGCAUCUGAUUUGCACUGACAAUACCAGAAUUUCUUUCAAAAUACAGUAAAACUCGGUUAUAACAAAGUCACUGGGACCUGUGAAAUUACUUUGCUAUAUCCGUAAUUCGUUUUAUCCUUAUAAGAAAUUCGUUAAAUUUAUAUAGCUGGGGAUCCAAGAAAAAUUCGCAAUAUCCGUGAAUUCGUUCUAUCCGUGUUCGUACUAAACGAGUUUUACUGUACCCCUAACGGAAAAAAAAGUAUAGUAAAAGAAGAAUAUAUGUAAUUUUUAAAAUCUUAAUAAAAUUUUCACAAAAAUCUUCAA